rnacentral:rRNA from 1 species
UACGAGGGGGGCAAGCGUUGUUCGGAAUUACUGGGCGUAAAGCGUGCGCAGGCGGUUUGUUAAGUCCGUUGUGAAAGCCCCGAGCUCAACUUGGGAAUUGCAGUGGAUACUGGCAGGCUGGAGUACGGUAGAGGAAGGUGGAAUUCCCGGUGUAGCAGUGAAAUGCGUAGAUAUCGGGAGGAACACCAGUGGCGAAGGCGGCCUUCUGGACCAGUACUGACGCUCAUGCACGAAAGCGUGGGGAGCAAACGGG